rnacentral:rRNA from 1 species
GAAUCUUGGGCAAUGGGCGAAAGCCUGACCCAGCGACGCCGCGUGAGGGAUGAAGGCCUUCGGUUCGUAAACCUCUUUUGCGGGGGAAGAAGUUCUGACGGUACCCCGCCAAUAAGCCACGGCUACCUACCUGCCAGCCGCCGCGGUAAUACGUAGGUGGCGAGCGUUGUCCGGAUUUACUGGGCGUAAAGGGCUUGUAGGCGGUUCGUUAAGUCUGGUGUGAAAUCUCCCGGCCCAACUGGGAGGGGUCAUCGGAUACUGGCGGACUGGAGGUGGGCAGAGGAAAGCAGAAUUCCCGGUGUAGCGGUGAAAUGCGUAGAUAUCGGGAGGAAUACCAGUGGCGAAGGCGGCUUUCUGGGCCUAUCCUGACGCUGAGGAGCGAAAGCGUGGGGAGCGAACCGG